CAAGAACAUAGCUAGUGGGAAUAGAGCAAGUUUGAAAGGUUUGCCUUGGAGGGCGACAGACUUAGACCCUACCCAGCUCUUCUAGCACAAAGCCCCCUCAUGUUUCACUGAUACAUGUUCAAAACCAAAUUCAGUCUUGGAGUCCUUCUGAAGAGGAAGUGGUUGGAUUGCAGAGGCAGCAGGAGCCAGAGAACUCAAAAGAAGUAAAUGGGAUUAUUCAGAAGCGACAGAAGGGACAUCCUGAAGAUUUUGGUAGAAAGGAAAACCCUUCCAGUGGUCUGGAGAGCAGCUGGGGUCAGAGGACAGACGUGUGUAUAUUAACAGGAGCCAGCGAUGUUGCUAUGACAAACGAGCACUGGAAUGAGGGGGGUCAGUGAAUCCUGACAGAUGACAGCAUUGCAAGAAGGGUCAAGAGUCUGUUAAUUACAAUUGCAGGUCUCAUGUGUCUCUUUCUUCAGGAACUUUCUGCCAGCUUCCUUGAAAAGGUUAACGUUCCCAUGGUACAAAUUCAAAGCACCAAGAAUGUUUCUUUCAUGAAUCAUCACACUGCACUUUUCUAGUUCUUUGGUUUGCAUUUAAUUUACACCAUGUCAUUAGACUGUAAGUUAUUUAUUGUGGAGUGUUGCGUCUGCUUUGGACCAUUGACUUAUGCAUGUCUUGUAUAGUUCUGUGCAUUAAGCUGACUCAGGAAAUCCAUGCUUAGCGGAUACAUAAAUGAAUAGAUAAGUAGAUGCGUUACCCAAAAUAGCAAAACCAGAAUGCAUCCGAAAAGAACAUGGGAAUAAAUAAGAAAAAUGUAAUUUUCAAAAAGUUGAAGAGAAAAAUCACAUUUCCCUAGCAGAACAUUCCAGAGGGUGUUGAAGGUCAUGAUGAUGAAAUAUUCUGAGAAUAUUUUUUUAUAUUCUAAGACACUGGGCCUUUUGCUGGACUUCACAGUCAAUGUUAACAAUACAUCCUGAGUCACUUAAGACUUAAGACUGCUAGCCUUCUGUGUGCUCAGCCUGUUUGUUUAACCUGCUUUUAAGAGGACAAUGUUACAGUCAACCUCACUUGCCUUGGAUUUCCCAUGUAAUCAGCUUUUACAACCCAAGCUAAUGGCUAGCUGUAACCUUAAAUUAUGUACUCUUUCAUGCCCAUGUCCCUUAGCAAUGCACGUGUAUCAUUUGUUGAGAGCAGCAAAUACGGAAGUUAAAAGCGACUUUCUAAAAUCUACCAGAAAGGUUGAAAACAUCUAUUUAUGAGUCUUGGUUGAUAAACAAUGCUUGUUAUCUGGGUCAGUUGGGAACUGUUGGAGCCAGGGACAUAAUACCUUGUAAAACUCUGUUAAAGAUUUUUGUAAAGUCUCCCAUUCCUUUCUCAUGUGAUGCUUUCUGUGCUUUCAAUAAAGACACAGUGAAGCCUUUUGUGAGGAAUAGACACACAAUCUACAAACACACACA